GACGAACGCUGGCGGCGUGCUUAACACAUGCAAGUCGAACGGAAAGGCCCUGCUUUUGUGGGGUGCUCGAGUGGCGAACGGGUGAGUAACACGUGAGUAACCUGCCCUUGACUUUGGGAUAACUUCAGGAAACUGGGGCUAAUACCGUAUAGGAGCUCCUGCUGCAUGGUGGGGGUUGGAAAGUUUCGGCGGUUGGGGAUGGACACGCGGCUUAUCAGAUAGUUGGUGGGGUAGUGGCAUAACAAGGCUUUGACGGGUAGCCGGCCUGAGAGGGUGACCGGACACAAUGGAACAGAGAUACGGCCCAGACUCCUACGGGAGGCAGCAGUGGAGAAUAUUGCACAAUGGGCGGAAGCCUGAUGCAGCAAAGCCGCGUGGGAGAUGACGGCCUUCGGGUUGUAAACCGCUGUCGCCUGUGACGAAGCGUUAAUGACGGUAAUGGGUAAAGAAGCACCGGCUAACUACGUG
rnacentral:rRNA from 1 species